rnacentral:rRNA from 1 species
UACAGAGGGGGCAAGCGUUGUUCGGAAUUACUGGGCGUAAAGGGCGCGUAGGCGGCCUGCUAAGUCGAACGUGAAAUCCCUGGGCUCAACCCAGGAACUGCGUCCGAUACUGGUUGGCUUGAAUCCGGGAGAGGGACGUGGAAUUCCAGGUGUAGCGGUGAAAUGCGUAGAUAUCUGGAGGAACACCGGUGGCGAAGGCGACUUCCUGGCCCGUUCUUGACGCUGAGGCGCGAAAGCUAGGGUAGCAAACGGG